UAAGCGGAGGAAAAGAAACUAACAAGGAUUCCCCUAGUAACGGCGAGUGAAGCGGGAAGAGCUCAAAUUUGUAAUCUGGCACUUUCAGUGUCCGAGUUGUAAUCUCGAGAAGUAUUUUCCGCGCCGGACCGCAUACAAGUCUGUUGGAAUACAGCGUCAUAGUGGUGAGAACCCCGUAACUGAUGCGGAUGCCCGGUGCUUUGUGAUAUACUUUCGAAGAGUCGAGUUGUUUGGGAAUGCAGCUCAAAUUGGGUGGUAAAUUCCAUCUAAAGCUAAAUAUUGGAGCAAGACCGAUAGCGAACAAGUACCGUGAGGGAAAGAUGAAAAGCACUUUGGAAAGAGAGUUAACAGUACGUGAAAUUGUUGGAAGGGAAACGCUUGAAGUCAGACUUGCUAUUCGGAGUUCAGCCGCAAGGUGUAUUCUUCGAUUUGCAGGCCAGCAUCAGUUUUUGGGGGUGGAAAAUCGUGGUUUGAAGGUAGCAGUUUCGGCUGUGUUAUAGCUUUCCACUGGAUUCAUCUUCGGGGACUGAGGAACGCAGUACGCUUUUUGCAAGGCUCUCGAGCUUUUCGUACUUAGGAUGCUGGUGGAAUGGCUUUAAACGACCCGUCUUGAAACAC
rnacentral:rRNA from 1 species